GACGAACGCUGGCGGCGUGCUUAACACAUGCAAGUCGAACGGAAAGGCCCUGCUUUUGUGGGGUGCUCGAGUGGCGAACGGGUGAGUAACACGUGAGUAACCUGCCCUUGACUUUGGGAUAACUUCAGGAAACUGGGGCUAAUACCGGAUAGGAGCUCCUGCUGCAUGGUGGGGGUUGGAAAGUUUCGGCGGUUGGGGAUGGACUCGCGGCUUAUCAGCUUGUUGGUGGGGUAGUGGCUUACCAAGGGUUUGACGGGUAGCCGGCCUGAGAGGGUUACCGGGCACAAUGGGACUGAGAUACGGACCAGAAUCCUACGGGAGGCAACAGGGGGGAAUAUUGCACAAUGGGCGGAAGCCUGAUGCAGCAACGCCGCGUGCGGGAUGACGGCCUUCGGGUUGUAAACCGCUUUCGCCUGUGACGAAGCGUGAGUGACGGUAAUGGGUAAAGAAGCACCGGCUAACUACGUG
rnacentral:rRNA from 1 species